CCCGUUUAAAAAAAAACCAAAAAAACUCUGAAAUCCUCUCCUCCGUCCUCUGGCCUGAGUUCCAACAACGGCAGAUGGCCACCGCUCCAGGUGCCUACGCACCGCCGUGCACGGCGGUCGGAAGGCCAAAAAUCCUUCCUCUUGCAGCCGAAACACAGGUAAUCACAAGAUCUCCGGCGGAGAUAAAGGGGACCUUCGUUUGGUGCUUGCGGCGCGAGGAGAGAGCUAGGGUUUCUAACCCUAGCCGAAUGCUUCUAAAUUUUGGGCCUCUGAGAGUUUGGGUCUGUAACGGGUAGGGAUGGUUUAGAUCUGUUAGGUCGGGUUAGGUAUUGGGUUAAGUUUGGCUGAUGGAUCUAUGUAUUUGGGCUACGGGACUGCUUUGGGGUUUUGGGUAGUAACAAUGGGCCUACUGGAUAGGGUCACGGUUUGUUGGGUCACGGGUCUUAUAAUGGGUAGGUUUAGGUGGGUUAUUGGGUUUUAACAUUUGUAAAAGGACUGUUAAAAAAAACUUUUAUUAUUAUUUUUUUUGAUA